UGAAAACUUAUUAUUUUUUAUUUUCGCCUGCCUAAUCGGCGAAAACCACCUAGUGGGCAAUCGAGAACUAAACGCACCCACGUCAGAAAAAAAAAACCAUACCAGAAAAAAAAACCCGGUUAGAAACCCUUCGGUUGUUCAGGAUUUUUAAGUGAAGUUGGAAUAGAAGAGAAUGACGAUUUGGCUUCGAGAGCAAGCAUAUGUUAUACUACAGUAAUGGGAAUUUCAACAAGGAAAAACAAAACUAAUCAACAACAUCACAAUUUAAAAUCAACAACUAAUCACAACAUUUCGGAAUCAGGCUGCAAACCGCAAGGACGACGAAAUUCUUGGUUUCGCUCGUGAAUCCAUUUAUUUGACACUGGAAAGAACUCAAUAUAUUUCGAGUUCAUUAAACUUUAAAAAGAAAAAUCUUUGUCCGUAUUCUCACCCCAUUUAGAUCCAGUAAGGACAGGACAGGCAGCAUGCUGGGUAAAGUCGUUGCCUUCACCAUUUGGAUCCAGGUUAUACCAAAAGGCAGCGCUUCCUUUUUUUGGCCAUAAGGAAAGGUUGAGCUUUGGGAAGACAGUCGCGCCGCCAGCCUCGACGUCACUCAUCUAGAACAACAAAAGAGAAUCAAGUUUAAUGGAAACUUCAAUUAGGAACAUGACUAUAAAUCAGAAGCAAGUUUGUUCAAUGUUUUGGCAACCCCGAAAUAUUUUCUUUUCAAUAUUAUUUAAAAAAUAUGAACAGCCAUUUGAGAGCGAAAACAAUCAUAAACAGUUUAAAAUUUACUCCUUGCUAACAAAAACAUGCUUCGCCUUUAUACUUACAUAAAAUAGCCAAGUGGCAAUCCGAUUGCCCCAUCCAAAGUCUUUCUGAACUUCGCCUUUCUACGAAUCAAAUAGAAAAUGGUGG